ensembl:lncRNA
CUGACCUGCAUACUGCAGUAUUUAGCUUGUGACAGUAACACCAAACUGAGAAACAUCUAGCUCUGACAUUUGUUUUUUAAUUAAGCCCUGUUGGGGAGGUCAGAGGCGGUCACCUGCACGGGCUGAGUCUGACGUAGAAUAAACACCUUCCCGAGCUCCGUGACGGGUCACCUUUCCAGGCUGCAUCCUUGAGUGCUGUGGGAUUGGUGUGGGUUUUCCUCAGAGUGCUCCAGUCCUUCCCAGAUCCACCCCACCCUGCCCAGCAUGCCAGGAAACACCCAAAUGGCACACACACAGCGCCACACUCCACACAGACCUGGCAGCCAUGCCUGACCCCCGGGGUCACCUGCACUUCUCACGUUUUGGGUCUUGAGCUAGGCCUGGUGCUUCUCCCAAACACAAUGCAGAUACAGAUGGUAUUACGCAUGGCCACCUCCCCCAAGGCUCUCCCCAGUCUGAUCAUGUCCCCACUGCCUGGUCCAAAACCCUCCAGCCACCAGUGGAAAGGAACAAAGGCCCCUGACUGCAGCCUGUUCACAGCCCACCCCUCAUUUGCCCACACUGUAGGUGCUCAAUAAACCAUCUGCCACACUGAAGUCUGUGUUUAAUCAGACAAUAUGCAAAGUAUUUACAACCAAUUACUGAUCCCCCCUCCCCCUAAGCCUGAGCCAUAGAAUGUGGGACCCCCCAGGCCCUGCCCAGAGCCAGGGAUCCCCCAGGCCUCUGCAUAGUCAUCUGAAAUCUACAAAACACUGUUAAAAAAAAUAGGACAGUAUUAGGACACCUUAUACAAAGGGGCCAGGGCAGUUGAAGGGGGAUUUGAGGGCACGCAGGGGAAGCGAACCCAGAUCUGACCUAGACAGACAGGAGCAGACUUGAGAGACAAACAUGAAGGGAAGGGAAGGUUGGAACCUUAUGGGCAGGCACCACUUGGCCUCCCUCCCCUGUGCCAGGCCCAGGCUGGCUCGAGGACCCUGCCAACCAGGCUGUUAUUGCUGUGAUGGGGGCAGUGGUGAAAUGGAGGACAGGGCUGGGGCGGCUCUUACAUGUUAAAUAUGGACACACACGGACACACACACACACACACACACACACACGGGGGCCCUUGGCAAGAUGCCACUAAUUAUCAGCUGCCCAUGUUACAGAUGGCCACACUGAGGCCCAGGAGGAAGCCACCACAUACCCUAAGGCUGAACAGCAGAGCCAGGACCCCAUGGGUUCCUACCACAGGGUCUGGCGGCAGCUGAGCAGUCAGAGGCCACAGCCCACGCGUGUAGUUGCAGCUCAUAGAAAAGCAGGGCCCCAAGUCACACAGCAGUGUGCACCAGUGGGCACCCUUGCCCUCUCUGAUCCCAGCCAGGGCACUCCUCCCUACUCAUGAUUUGGGGAGCCCAUUUGGGAGCAGAGCAGAGGCCAGCUGUUGAAAUGCUCAGGACAAACUGGGGGAUGGAGGACCUGAGGUUCCCUCCUGAGGCCAGGACCAGGCCCUCCAGCCUCACUGCUCUGUGACUACUUGAUUGCCACCAGAGCCUGGGAGCUUACUCCCUGUCAUGGCUGGCUGGCUCCAAAGGUCAAAAGCCACCUACAUUCUGACUGAAGCCUGCUUUCCACACCUUCACCUUCCACCCCUUGCUUCUAGCUCAGCCUCACACAGGCCUGUCCGGCCCCCUCCCCCAACAGUCUGGCUGAGCCAAGCACACAGGGACAGUGGGACCCUGUUAUCUGUGACCCAUCUUGAGGUCCCCUGUCCCCUGGGCUGCUCCAAUCUGAGAUGUCUCUAAAGACAAUUCUCGUCGGUUCCUGAGGAAGACCGACAGAGCACCAGGUACCAAGGCUGCCGCCUAGACCCUGACCUGCUCUUCAGCCCUGGGAAAGGCACAUCCCCUCUCUGACUCCAUUUUCCCGUGGGAACAAUGGGAGAAAGGAGAUGAUGAUCUCCAAGGGUCCCUGGGGUGGAAGAAGGGCAGAGCUGGAAGGGGGUCCUCAUCCCAUCUACUAUCACUGAGCCAUGCUGGGCUGGGGGAUGCCCAACCAUGACAGAGGGGUCUGGACCCUGCAGCCCUGACCCCCAGAUGUGUCCAAAGGGAUGCCAGGGGCAGGGGCUGCAGCUGAGGGCCAGGGUACAUCGCUCCUCUUUGGAAAGCUUCUUUGGCCAGCUCAUGAGACGGACCUGGGGCAUCCAAGGGUGGAGGGGCCAGGCACAGGCCGCAGGUGGAGGUGAGAACGGGCAUCCGGCCCCUUUUCCAAAUCCUCCUCUGGUGACAGCAGAUCUCCCGGAGGGACAAAGAGGAGGCGUGUGGCCACAGCAGGCGCUGGGACAAUCACUGUGCUGGCCAUGGACCCACAGACCCAAAGCCCUUCCAUGUGCCCAAAGACAGAAGGGCUCCAUCCCUGGCAAUUCAGCCCCAGGGUGGGAGGGUCCACAGUGGCAGGUGGAGGGUGCAGACCCCACAGGUGACCCAGCUAGGCAGGGCAUCCUGCCCUAUAGGUUCUCCCCAACUAGGAUGUUGGCGGCACGCAGGUCCCGGUGGGACGUAGUUCAUCCAGCUCCACAUACGCCAUGCCUGAGGCAAUCUGCAGGCAGCACCCAGGUGCCUGGCUCAGGGGCGCACUCACCUCCCAGGCCAUGGGCUUGGGGUCCUCCCAGGGGCUGCUGAGCCAACUGUACUUCCUGCCUUCCACACUUCUUCAGGCACAAGAAGUCAGCUCACAGUGAACACCACUGGCUUACCAAGCAGGACCAGCACCCAGCAGGAAGAGUGCAUGAGGGUAAUGGAAAGCGUCAUGAUAAGAGGCACCCAGGGAAGUGGAGGGGAUGGUGACAAAGAGGCCCCAGCUGACCCACAGAUGCAUGACAGGUCCUGCCAGCUGUCCCAAGUCCUCCGUCUGAGCCUGUUUUCACAUCUAUCCAAUCUCUACCUCUCCUGAUUCUUAUCAAAAUUAAAUGAAACAAAGAUGUCGAGUUCUGCCUACAUACUUGCUGAGUGGCUUAAUGACCUUUACAGAGAAGAAAACUGAGGCCAGAGGUCCCACAGCAAGUCAGUGGCUGCUGAUGCCCAGUUAAGGUCCUCUGUCCAGAACCACCACUCGGGGAACUUAUAAGUGGUUCCAGUAAUACAGGUGGGAAGAUGAGUGUGGGGAAUUCAAGGCAGGCCUCCUGGAGGGGGCUCACAAGAGGCGGCUCACAAGAGGCCAGAACUGGCUGAGCCAGGGGGAUCUGGGUGUGCUGGAGGCAAAGGCUAGGGAAGCAGGAGGGACCGACUCACCCUGAGCGGCCAUGUCCACCAGUUGAGGCAGCCGCAGGUACUUGCCCGUUUCCCCCUUGAGAAAGUCCAGCAAACUCCCUGGGCAAAAGACAGAGUCAGCUCCAGCCCUGCACCGUCCUUCUUUCGCUUCGAAAGAUGUAACUCCUGGCUCCUGUGGCCCACCCGGGCGCUGGCCCCGCCUUCACCAGCACAGGAGAAUCCCAUGCAAACCCAUCCCCAGCCUCAUUCAGCAGUUAUCUCUCUCAAGCAAACAGGGCAGGAAGCACCCCACCCCCACUGGCCCCCAAGGAUGAGAUGGCCCGGGUGUGUGAACACACUGGGACCCAACUUGGGAACAAGAGACCAGACCAAUGGGGCAUGGUAGUGCAUGCCUGUAAUCACAGCACUCUGGGAGGUGCAAAAGUUCCAGCCCAGCCUGGACAACUUCGUGAUGACAUUGCAGAGUAAACACAAGUCCACCAGGACAGAAAGCAGAUCAGAGCUUGUCUGGGUUUGGAGUGCAGGGUACUGUCUGCCAAGGGCAACAGGGAACUUUGUGGAUGAGGGAGACAGUGUGUGUCCUGAUUGUAAGGGAUACCUGGAGAAUCCCUUGGUCACGAUUCAUUCAACCAAAUACUAAAUAUCAUGUUUUUAAAAAUGGAAUUUUGAAUAAUUAAUUUUUAAAAUUAAGUCAAUAGCUGGGCGUGGUGACACACACCUGUAAACCCAGUACUCAGGAGGCUGAGGCAGGAGGAUUGCCUCGAGUUCGAGGCCAGUCUAGGAUACAUAGUAAGUUUAAGGCUAACCUGAACUACACAGUGAGACCCUGUCUUAAAAAAUAAAAAUAAAGGGGCCAGGGAUUUAGCUCAGUGGUGCUGCUGGCUGCCUCAAAGCCCAAAGUCCUGAGUUCAAUCCCCAGCACCAAAAACAAAAAAUAAAAAAGAUAAAAAUAAAAAUCAAGGGCGGGGAUUUAGCUCAGUGGUUCCACCACCUGCCUUGAAAGCGCAAGGUCCCAAGUUCAAUCCCCAGUACCAAAAAAAAAAAAAACCAACCAAAAAAUAAAAAUUAAGUCAAAGUCAGGCACCUGGCUCAAGUUCUCCUUUAGCCUGAGAAGAGCAAACAGCUUUAGAAAGCCAGCAAAUAAUGGAUGGUGAGAAACCACUGAGAACAAAGUGAGAAGGGAAAGACAAUUCUGCCUAAAUUCCCUCCAACUCGUGGGUUUGAUCCUGUGCGGUGCCACCUAUAAAAAGCCACCGGGGUAUGGGCGAAGUGGCACACACCUGUAAUCCCUGCACUCUGGGAGGCUGAGGCUGGGAGGGCACAAGUUCAAGCUCAGCCUGGGCAACUGGGUGCCUCAGGAAGACUCUGUUUCAAAAUAAAAAAGGUCUGGGGAUAUAGCUCAGUGUGAAGGCCCUGGGUUCAAUCUCCAAUACCAAAAAAGAAAAACAAAAGCACUUUGGGGAGGUGGGGAGGGCCCUGGCAGGCACCCCGGGCGCAUCAGGUCCACUAGGCUGGCCAGCCAGGCCUCACCCUUGCUCAUGUACUCUGUGACGAUGUAGAUGGGCUCCUCGGACACCACAGCGUACAGCUGCACCAGCUUCUCGUGCCUCAGUUUCUUCAUGACCUGGGCCUCCUGCAGGAAGGCCUCCGGAGACAUGGUGCCCGGCUUCAGGGUCUUGAUGGCCACCCUGGUGGUGCCGUUCCAGGUUCCUGCAGGGUAGAGACGAAGGCGGCCUCAGUGGAGACCCCGCUCUCACCAUCCAGGCAUGGGACUUGCCUGCCUAGGGGGACCAGGCUCAGCUCUGGCCUCCCUCACCAAGUGACAAGAGCAGCCAAGGGGGUCUCCUUCUGAACCUCUGUAUCCCCAUCUAUAAAACGGGUACAAGGACGAGGCGGUGCCUCACAGGGUUGUUACAGGCUGAAAUGAGGGCACUGCUCAGCAAACAGGAGCUGGGUCAGGACUCGGAUUAUGAGGAAUGUCCCUCAAAUGCCACACAGCAGUGGGACAGACAGAGACCACAGUUCCAACUCAAUGGCAUCUCCUGGUGCCCCUUCCUGCCAACUACAGCAUGGAAGGCACCCCAUUAUCAGCAAACAGAUAUGUCCUAGUGGGGGUCAGUGGGGGGGCAGAGUUGGGUCAGGGGCUGUUGCAGCCACCAGAACAAGAGGUGGCCUCCAGAGCCUACAGACCCUGAAAAGCAAGCUGCUGCACGAGGAAGAGCAAGGUAGGAGGCAGCUCAGCUGCAGCCCAGCUCCCCAGGAGGCGGCCAGGGUGAGGUGGGACCCCUUCCUCAGCCUCUCUCCCCAUCUGGAAGAGGGGAUCCUCUGUGGCUACCUGUGGGGCUCUCUGAGGACUCAAGGAGAUUUCAGCCACUGGGCCAGGCCCCCCGAGGCUCAGUGAGUGAGUGCAGCUUCACCCCUUGCGUGAGGACCUGGGAUUUCAUCAUACAGUAGUAGGUGACUACACCUGAGGGCCACCACUGGGGAGCUGCACAUUUAAAAGUGGGCCCCCUCUUUCAGUAGAGGCAACUAAAAGAAAAGGGAACCCGGGAGCCUUGAGCUGCCACCCAGGAGGGACCCUGCCUAUUCUCAGGUGACCACAUCAAACCCCUCCCCAGGCCAUGCCUCCGGGGGGCAGUGCUCCCUACCCAUCCACACCUCCCCAAAGCAGCCCUGGCCCAGCUUGACCUCCAGCCGCAGGGAUUCCCGGGGAUCUCCCAGGCAUCCUUGGCCAGGCCCUGGGUCUGUGGCUUGGACGUGGGGCACACGGUGGUGAGGCGGUGGCACAGGCCAUCAGCGUGUUCUGGAGAUGAGGCAGGGAGCAGAGCUCAGUGGGGCACAUGGGUGAGCUCACAGGAGGGCGCCCAUACCAACAUCUGCACCCACCCUGCCUGGGCCCUGCAGCCUUGUGAGAGGCUCACAGAGUCUGCCUUUCCUCCUUCACUCAUGGGGCUUGAAGAGUGCCAGGAACCCGGAGGGGGCAAGCACGUGGAACUGCCCUCAGGGAGCUCCCAGCCCAGGAGGAGCAGACUUCUGUCAGCCACCCCUCAGAGCCACAAACAUGGCCAGGGAGAGCUGUGCGUGCAUGAGUGUAUGGGGUGGGCUGCACACAGGGGCUGCGGGUUCUCGGUCUCUAUCCUAAAACAGCCCCUGGAGGGUGGGUCCGGGGGACAGGACCAAGCAUUCGCCCCAGAGUGGUGGGGAUCCUAGAGGAGGGUGAGUGGCCCCGUUGAGAGGAGGAGGUGCCAGGUAAGAGGUGGGCCACACAGGCACACACAGGCCCUGGGUAUCCAGGUAGGUGGCCCCACUGCAGCACCCAGCACCUGCCCCACCCCACCAGCACCCUGGCUCAAGUGCUCCCUCUGCCACCCUCUCCUCCAACUUGGCUAUAAUCAAUGUAGCUGCCCCUUCUGCUCUCCUAGUAACCGGUUCAGACCGGUCCUGAGGCUGCAGAGACAAUCAACUCCAGCCCCUGUCCCCUCCCUUUCAGCUUGCUCAAGGCAGCCCCCUCCUCACCAGCCAGCUACAGUGGAGGAGGAGGGAUGGGCAGGGGCUCAGGGAAGACAAGGAGGAAAGAUGAGGCAGGGGGAGAGGAGUGGAAGGCAGUGGUGCCACAGGGGCGGGAAGGAG